rnacentral:rRNA from 1 species
GACGAAGGGAGCUAGCGUUGUUCGGAAUCACUGGGCGUAAAGCGCACGUAGGCGGAUUUGUAAGUCAGGGGUGAAAUCCCGGGGCUCAACCUCGGAACUGCCUUUGAUACUGCAAAUCUCGAGUCCGAUAGAGGUGGGUGGAAUUCCUAGUGUAGAGGUGAAAUUCGUAGAUAUUAGGAAGAACACCGGUGGCGAAGGCGGCCCACUGGAUCGGUACUGACGCUGAGGUGCGAAAGCGUGGGGAGCAAACAGG